rnacentral:rRNA from 1 species
AGUGAACGCUGGCGGCAGGCCUAAUACAUGCAAGUCGAACGGCAGCACAGCAGAGCUUGCUCUGUGGGUGGCGAGUGGCGGACGGGUGAGGAAUACGUGGGAAUCUGCCCAGUCGUGGGGGAUAACGUAGGGAAACUUACGCUAAUACCGCAUGCGCCCUUCGGGGGAAAGCCGGGGACCUUCGGGCCUGGCGCGAUUGGAUGAGCCCACGUCGGAUUAGCUAGUUGGCGGGUAAAGGCCCACCAAGGCGACGAUCCGUAGCUGGUCUGAGAGGAUGAUCAGCCACACUGGAACUGAGACACGGUCCAGACUCCUACGGGAGCAGCAGUAGGGAAUAUUGGACAAUGGGCGCAAGCCUGAUCCAGCCAUGCCGCGUGAGUGAAGAAGGCCCUCGGGUUGUAAAGCUCUUUUGUCCGGAAAGAAAAGCGCCGGGUUAAUACCCUGGUGUCCUGACGGUACCGGAAGAAUAAGCACGGCUAACUCGUGCCAGCAGCCGCGGU